CCGUAUAACGAACGAGACCUUAGCCUGCUAAAUAGUCAGGCCGGCUUUUGCUGGUCGCCGACUUCUUAGAGGGACUGUCAGCGUCUAGCUGACGGAAGUUGUGGCAAUAACAGGUCUGUGAUGCCCUUAGAUGUUCUGGGCCGCACGCGCGCUACACUGACAGGGCCAGCGAGUAUAUCACCUUGGCCGAAAGGUCUGGGUAAUCUUGUGAAACCUUGUCGUGCUGGGGAUAGGGCAUUGCAAUC
rnacentral:rRNA from 1 species